AUUAAUUAAACUCUGACAAUGAAGAGGGAGGUUCCUUGUUGCUGUUGUGGAUCUGACUCACUCAUUGAUCUACUAAUGAUCAGAGCAUAUGAAAACUCUCCACAGGAUUCUACUAAAGGCAAAGAAGGUUCUAAAAGGACUGUACCUACUGGGUCAUCCACUGCUCUGGCUCUAUGAUGCUUUUGGCCUGAGACACUCUGCUGCUUCAUGGAAAGGUGCAGCACCUCAGAAGAGAAUGGCAGCUGUCUUUGCAUUCUGGGAGAGGUAACAGAAAUGUAAAGACCACACUGGCUCUCACUAUUGUCUCAGAACACCAGGCAAGUCUCCAGCAUCCCCAGCGUUUGUCUGUGAAAUUCCUAGAAGAUGUGGGAGCCUCACAAAGGUCCCUGCUCUGAAUGGGCCACACCCUG